AAAUGGUGGAAUGGUAAAUGUUGCUCUAAGCUCAGACCUUUGUUUAUUUCUUUACCUGCUUUUAUUUUGUGACAGAUUUAGAAGAGGAGAAACACAAUCAAAUAUGGUGGUUGAAUAUCAUUUAAUAUCAUGAAUAGGAAUAUUUAUCUUUUUGCUAAAGUCAGGUAUCCAUGGUUGAAAAACCUUCCUUAUAAUUGGCCUAUGAUGGUGAUGAUGCUGGAAGCCUACAAACCGCUUAUACAGACAAUUAUGGUGAAUUGGAGAGCUCUUGAUAAUGGUUUUUUAAGAGUAAUUCUGAUGGGGCUUCUAAAGGUAAUCCUGGACCUAGUGGAGGUACUUAUUGUGUUAGAGACAAUGUUGGAGAUUUUGUUUAUGCUAAUUCCUUUGACUGUGGUAUUAUGAAUAGUUUGGAAGCUGAAGUAUGUGCUUUUAAAAGAGGGUUUCAGUAUUGUGUCAAUACAAGGUUAUUGCCUCUGAUCAUGAAAAUGAUUCUCUCAUCUUAAAGAAGAUUUUUGAUGGGAUAUGGGAGGUCCCAUAAAAAAUAACAGCUGAUGUUAAGGGUAUUAAAAAGCUGUUGAUGCAAUUCCAAGUAGAGGUGAUGCAUACACGUAGAGAAGGGAACAAACUAACAGAUUUUUCAGCUAAUGAAGUUUUCUUUUUUUGCAGGAUAUCAAUGUAAAGAAUUUACAUCUUUACAGGAUAUUACAAAGGAGGCAAAGGCAAUUCUUGAGUUAGAAAAACAACACAAGCCAACAAUUAAAGUGAUUAAGGGCCAAAACAAGAACUUUCACAUAUGAAGUCAAUCAAGGAAAAGGAAAAAUAGAAUCAAGGGAUCAAAGAGCAACAUAUUUACAAGAGUAUCAGUGAUAAAUGCACGUUCACACAAAAGACACCACCAAAACCGACUUAAAUCAAGACAUCAAGUUUUGAUUUCAUCAACAACACAUGCAAAAUAAUUCAUUAAUAUGAAUCAGUCAAGGUUAACAAGUUACC
rnacentral:lncRNA from 1 species